AGCGAACGCUGGCGGCAGGCUUAACACAUGCAAGUCGAGCGCCCGUAGCAAUACGGGAGCGGCAGACGGGUGAGUAACACGUGGGAACGUGCCCUUCAGUUCGGAACAACCCAGGGAAACUUGGGCUAAUACCGGAUACGUCCGUAAGGAGAAAGAUUUAUCGCUGAAGGAUCGGCCCGCGUCUGAUUAGCUAGUUGGUGGGGUAAUGGCCUACCAAGGCUACGAUCAGUAGCUGGUCUGAGAGGAUGAUCAGCCACAUUGGGACUGAGACACGGCC
rnacentral:rRNA from 1 species